rnacentral:rRNA from 1 species
AGCUCAAGCGGGUGGUAAAUUCCAUCUAAGGCUAAAUACGGGCCNGAGACCGAUAGCGCACAAGUNNNGUGAUCGAAAGAUGAAAAGCACUUUGAAAAGAGAGUUAAACAGUAUGUGAAAUUGUUGAAAGGGAAGCGCUGGCGACCAGAACCUGCGGGCGGCGGUUCCCCCGGUCCCCGUCGACCGGGCUCCUCCGUCGCCCCCAGGCCAACAUCGGUUCCGGGUGGCCGGUGAAAGGCCCCGGGAACGUAUCUAACCUCCGGGUCGACUUACAGCCCGGGGUGCCAUGCGGCCCACCCGGACCGAGGAACGCGCUCCGGCGAGGAUGUUGGCGUAAUGGUGGUCAGCGGCCCGUCUUGAAACACGGACCAAGGAGUCUAACAUCCAUGCGAGUGUUUGGGUGUCAAACCCCCGGCGCGGAAUGAAGGUGAACGGAGGUGAGAGCCCCGGCCGGCGACGGCGGGGGCGCAUCAUCGACCGAUCCGGAUGUCUUCGGAUGGAUUUGAGUAAGAGCAUGGCUGUUGGGACCCGAAAGAUGGUGAACUAUGCCCGGAUAGGGUGAAGCCAGAGGAAACUCUGGUGGAGGCUCGCAGCGGUUCUGACGUGCAAAUCGAUCGUCGAAUCUGGGUAUAGGGGCGAAAGACCAAUCGAACCGUCUGGUAGCUGGUUCCUGCCGAAGUUUCCCUCAGGAUAGCAGUAACGGAAGCAGUUUUAUGAGGUAAAGCGAAUGAUUAGAGGCCUUGGGGUUGUAACAACCUUAACCUAUUCUCAAACUUUAAAUAUGUAAGAAGUCCUUGUUGCUUAACUGAACGUGGACAUUUGAAUGCAGCGUUACUAGUGGGCCAUUUUUGGUAAGCAGAACUGGCGAUGCGGGAUGAACCGAACGUGAGGUUAAGGUGCCGGAAUGUACGCUCAUCAGACACCACAAAAGGUGUCAAUGCAUCCAGACAGCCGGACGGUGGCCAUGGAAGUCGGAAUCCGCUUAGGAGUGUGUAACAACUCACCGGCCGAAUGCAUUGGCCCUGAAAUGGAUGGCGCUUAAGCGUG